rnacentral:rRNA from 1 species
UACGGGGGGGGCAAGCGUUGUUCGGAAUUACUGGGCGUAAAGGGCUCGUAGGCGGCCAACUAAGUCAGACGUGAAAUCCCUCGGCUUAACCGGGGAACUGCGUCUGAUACUGGAUGGCUCGAGUUUGGGAGAGGGAUGCGGAAUUCCAGGUGUAGCGGUGAAAUGCGUAGAUAUCUGGAGGAACACCGGUGGCGAAGGCGGCAUCCUGGACCGGUAUUGACGCUGAGGCGCGAAAGCUAGGGUAGCAAACGGG